GGGGGAGGCGGGGAAGCGUCGCCCUCCGCGCCCCGGCGGCGGGGCCGAGUGGCGCCGCCGCCCGCCCGCCCGCCGCGGCGCUCCCCAGAAAAUAUCACGUAUACUGGUCAUUUUCACUGUGGAAGAAGUGUGCUGUUGGAGCAACUGCCUGUUGAAUCCUUCCUACCCACUGCUGUUGCUUUGUUGAAUGUCAACUCAUAAGAAACAAUGGUAUAGAGAAUCUCAAACUUCAUUAAUGGAAACUUGGAACGUCCUGAAUCCUCUCAAAUUGCAACUUGACCUACUCAGCAAUGACAACGUUUUACAUGAAGAGGGAGAGUAGAUUUCCAUUUCUGAUAAGGUAUAGCUUUGCUGUUGGAAAAAUCAUAAAAUCUGCCUGUUGCAGAAAUACAAAUGACAGGCAAAACUUCACAUGUUCCUUGGCAGAACUAGAUGUGACCAGGUAAAGCACUAAGCACCCUUACAUUUGCAAUCUACAAUGAAAGUAGUAUCAUCAGAUAUGUUCUGUAUUGUAAUCAUAGUAGUGUUGACUGCAAAAGCCUUUAAAACUUUUAAGGAAUAUGAAAACAUUUAAACUAUAAAAUAUUUUGAUGAUUUUCUGAUUUCUAUGAUUUUAGAUGAUUAUUUGUAGAUUCUAUGGUCUGUACUCUGAAUAAAACAUA